UCAAUCCUAAACCGAGUGGUUAAGGCGGCAGCUUUAGGCGCUGCUCUCCUAUGGAGGCGUGCGUUCGAGCCACCGGUGUCAAA